GCCUCUUCCCCUUCCACCAUGACUGUAAGUUUCCUGAGGCCUUCCUAGCCAUUCGGACUGUUCAAAGAUUAUAGAAAUCAAAAUCAAGAAGUGAAUUACAAGGGUCUAAACCCUGCAGAAAGUAUUAGUCAAUGAAAUUUGCUUUUCAUAAAAAUAUGCCAAAUUGGCCCUUUUUGAAAAGUAUCAGUGCCAUUAAAAAAGCAGCCAGACCAACUAAAAAGAGAUGCUGGCCAACAAACUGCAGAAACAACGGUCAGUAAAACAACUAAGAGAGGU